rnacentral:rRNA from 1 species
CCUACGGGUGGCAGCAGUGGGGAAUAUUGGGCAAUGGGCGCAAGCCUGACCCAGCAACGCCGCGUGAAGGAAGAAGGCUUUCGGGUUGUAAACUUCUUUUAAGGGGGACGAAAAAAUGACGGUACCCCUUGACUAAGCCACGGCUAACUACGUGCCAGCAGCCGCGGGCAUACGGAGGUGGCCAGCGUUAACCGGAUUGUAUGGGUGUAAAGGGCGUGUAGGGGGGAGCGGAUGGCAGAUGUGAAAACUCAGGGCUCAACCCUGAGCCUGCAUUUGAAACUGUGUUUCUUGAGUGCGGGAGAGGCAAGCGGAAUUCGGUGUGUAGCGGUGAAAUGCGUAGAUAUACGGAAGAACACCAGUUGCGAAGGCAGAGUGCUGGACAGUAACUGACGCUGAGGCGCGAAAGCGUGGGGAGCGAACAGGAUUAGAUACCCUGGUAGUC